rnacentral:lncRNA from 1 species
AGAGGAAGAGGCGGGCUUUUCCGACCCCCACGCCCCUGGGAUGGUAAAGCUGCAGCCCACCUCGUCCUGGGGCAGAGUCUCCUUGCCUGCCUGCUUGCAUCUCUCACCAGCGUCCUAUCCUAACACCUCUGUUUCGUGCCCAUCACUUUGUCUCUCGCUGAAUUCCUUCUGCGUGGAGACAUAGAGAACCUCAACCUCAGUGAGUCCAGACGCAGGGGCUGCACCAGGUUAGGGUUCAAAUUAGAGCUGUAGCCACUGGCCUACGCCAAGGCCACAGCAACAUGGGAUCCGAACCGCGUCAGAAACCUACAGCACAGCUCAUGGUGAUGCUGGAUCCUCAACCCACUGAGCGAGGCCAGGUUUCGAAUCUGCAUCCUCGUGGAUACUACUCGGGUUUGCUAACCGCUGAGCCAUGACAGGAACUCCACCAGCUCCUGUUUUUGAGCAAAAGGAGAGCGUUUCCCAGACUCCUUGCCCCUGAGUGAGGAUACGUGCCUGGUUCUGGCCAAGGGGCUGUGGCUGAUACAGCAGGUGUCACUCUGAGUCAAAGCAAAGGAUGUGCAGACAUGAAGUCUCCACGCUCUCUCUUCUUCACCCCUUGUCUCAAGGUGUCAGAGGCACCAGGUGCUUCAUAAUCCUGGCAAAGCCACUAAGCUGAGCAGAGCUGCAGAAAUUCCCUGGCUUUCCUACUGGAAGAUGUCGAUCAAUGAGGGCGCUCGCGGCCUUUGAUGUCAGGCAUCCACGCCCGCUUCUGUAAAGACUUUCGGCUCCACAAGAGAACGGGAAGUCACUGUGAAGAAAGAGGCAGGCGAUGUAACCGGAAAAGCGCAGGUUUGAUGUCAAACAGACCUGCGUGGUUCCACCGCUUUCCGACUGUGUGACACCUCCCCCCCCCCACCACCGGUCCAGUUGCUCUCUGAACCCAAGUCUUGGAAAAUGGAACCAAUAAUACCUGUUCUUCAAGACUGUUCCUGCUGGAAGCUCCAAGAUUCAUCUGAAGGCGUGAUCACAUCCUCAAUGUUGAGUGGACUAUGAACCGGCUGCCAGAGACAGGGUUCCAAGCCGGGCCAGGCCCAUCCCAAUGCCCACCCGAAAAGACGGGACAGAGGAAAGAAAGAAACAAAAUCCUGGGGCUCCAUUGGCUUUCUUUUUGACUCCAGCUGAAGUUGCUGCAUAGUGUGGCCUUGCCAGUCCUCGCCUUGAAAAGUAGGUCUUGCGAAGUGAAACUGCGUGGCACAAAACAUGCCUUAGAGAGGCGGGGUAAACCUUUGUCUCCAAGAGUCAGGAGUUAGCAAAGGCAGAUGCACGGGAAAAAUUCCCGCCCAGGAGCUGCUGGGUGUCCCUCCUGGCAGUUUUCCUGGUGGGCCAGUGGUUGAGGUGGAGGAGGGGCAGCCCGGGAGGUCCCUGCAGAAAACAGGGAGGGAUCACUGAACAAGAAAGAAGUAAAAUAAAACAAAGAUCUAAAAAGCUCAGGAUCCGCCCACGCAGGGGACAGGGUCCCAGCAGCAUACUUAGCGCAGGCCAGGCCCCUCUGGAAAGUUGGCUGAACCUUGCCCUCUGGGCACAAGGAAAAGCAGCUCUCCUGCCAGGACCGCUGUAUAAACAUCCUUUUCCUACAGGAUCUCGUGGCUUGGGGUUCCAGUGGAGGGCAGGGAAGGUGUCCUAAUGCAGACAGAUUUCAAACUCCCGCUGUCCCUUUUCAGAUCAUAAAUUACUGUUAAUUUUGUUUACACCCCAGCCCCCUUCCUCUCUUAAUAGUUAGAGAAAGAGCAAUCACGACAAAAUCAAGGCUCCAAGGGGUAUAUGGCAGCCCCGCUCCGCUGGCUGAGAAGCAGCCAAGUGUUGCCUCAUCCUGCACUUCCCUGCAACAAAAGUUAAAUAUUUAUGUACCACAGGUGCCUCGCCUUGCCUCCUGCAAUAUCCUUUUGUAGUUUUGCUGUCAGGGAGCAGUGCGAGAGCUUCCAUUUCUGUUUAACUGGAAAGGGAAACUUGGUUUGUUUGUUCCCUUUCUCUCCCUCCUCCAACUCCAGGAGGCUCCAUGAGCCAGGCUGGGAGGCCUGGGGUGGAGGCUGCUGAGAAGUCGACCCAGGAUCUGUGUGGUUUCUCCUUGUUCAGGCAUCACCUUGUUUUGUAGUAAGCACUUCCCGGGGCCCUUUGCCCAAGCCAUCCUUGCCUGAGAGGUAUGCCCGAGCUUGAAGUUGGUUGGGUCUGGGUUUCAAUUCUAGGUCAACCCACUUAUUUAGCUGGUGACUCGCUCUCUUAGAGUCUCAGUUCUCAUCUUUAAAAUGGGGAUAAUAAUAAUAUUUUCCUAAGAGAGUGGUUGGGAAGAUGAAAAAUAGUGUAUAAAAAGUGACUGAGGCCACGUGAGAUUUUGGUAAAUGCCAGGUCUUCUAAAACAUUUUUGUUGAAAUGUAGUCAAUUUACAAAAUUAUGUUUGUGUUGGGUAUACAGCAAGGUGUUUAUAUAUAUGUGUGUGUGUGUGUAUAUAUAUAUAUAUAUACACACACACUUUUUAGUGUCAGGUAUACAGCAAAGUUAUAUAUAUAUAUGUGUGUGUGUGUGUAUAUAUACACUUUUUAAGAUUCUUUUCCAUUAUAAAUUAUUAUAAGAUGUUGAGUACAAUGCCCUGUGCUGUACUGUAGGUUUUUGUUGGUUAUCUAUUUUACAUGUAGUAGUAUGUAUAUGUUAAUCACAAAUUCCUAAUUUAUCCUCUCCAGGCCCUCUCUCCCCUUCAGUAACCAUAAGUUUGUUUUCUAUGUCUGUGAGUCUAUUUAUGUUUUGUAAAUAACUUCAUUUGUAUCCUUUUCUUAGAUUGCACAUAUAAGUGCUAUCAUAUGGUAUUUGUCUUUCUCUUUCCGGCUUACUUUCACUUAGUAUGAUGAUCUCUAGGUCCUUCCAUGUUGCUGCAAAUGGCACUGUUCCAUUCCUUUUUAUGGCUGAGUAAUAUUCCACUGUGUAUAUGCACCACAUCUUCUUUAUCCAUUCAUCUGUCAGUGGACACUUAGGCUGCUUCCAUAUCUUGGCUGUUGUGAAUAGUGCUGCUAUGAUCAUCGGGGUGUAAAUGCCAGUUCUUGCUUCUUUCUUGAUUGUGUUUCCAAGAUAGUAGCCAUCACCCACAUGUGGCUAUUGAGCACUGGAGAAGAGCUGGAAGUUAAAAUACACAAAGGAUUUCAAAGACCUAACAAAGAAAAAAAA